rnacentral:lncRNA from 10 species
CACCGCACUCCAGCCUAGGUGACAGAGCGAGACUCCAUCUCAAAAAAAAAAAAGAUUCUGAACCAUCCAUUCUCUGGGUUGCACUUAAAUUUUUGGCUUCAUUAGGGAUGACUUGGAGCUGCUAUGCUUGUCAUGCAAAAUAUAUUCCUCCAUGUUAUUUUCCAUUUGCUAAUCAGUUGGAUCCAUUUGAGUCAAACUGUGCCUUUGUAGACUUGGUUGCUUCUUUUGGAAGCUUCUUUCAAAGUUUCUUUCUUUAGUUGCUUCUUUCAAACUAGGUUACAGAAACAAGAGCUGAAUUAGACAGCUGCAGAAAGCAGAUUUCUACUUUCAAAUUUAAGAUGAAAAAUAUGAAUAUUGAGAGUAUUUCUUUCAUGUUGAAAUCAAGCAACUUUCUUGGUAAAAUUCUAUUUCUUAACGCAGUCAGUAAUUGGUGGGUGAGGUGACCACAUGCCCUGAGGAGGCAGGUAGGCCCAUCUAGAGCAGGAGCUGGGCUCAUGCAGAUGGAUCUUUGACCCUACCUCUGUUCCUCAUAGUUGGAUGACCCUGGCCAACUCACUUCACCCUGUUACUUUCCUUAUCUGCAAAAUUCAUGUCUCCAAAAUUCCCUUGUGGGGUUGCUGUGAGGAUGAGUUGAAAUGAUGUGUGUGGUGUCACAGCAUGAUUUCCUUGAUCCAUGGAAGUUAUUAAGUUGUUGGCAGUCCACUUCUUGCUUUUGUGGAGUUGUAUUUUUGUUCUAGCUCUUUUGUUCACAGACGGGGUGACUAUGUAAUUUAUCAUCCAAACUGGGAAUUAAUAAAUGAAAAUGAAAGACUAAGUGGAGGAGAGUCUGGGCUCAAAGGUGUGGUCAGGACUCUUCCCAGGCAAACCUGAACAUGUAUGGUCACCUUCCCUAAUACUAAUGCGUAGUCAGACUGAGCAGCCUGUGGGAGAAAGCUGGCUGCCAUCAUUCUGCCACUCACUGCUGGAGGGACAACAAGGCAGAAGCAGUCUGGCGGGCCAAGCUAGACCUUGUCUGUGUCGGGAAGACUUACAUCAUGUGCUGGUAAAGAACUAACAACUGCUGGGCACAGUGGCUCAUGCCUAUAAUCCCAGCACUUUGGGAGGCCAAGGUGGGAGGAUUGCUUGAGGCCAGAAGUUUGAGACCAGCCUGGACCACCUAGUGAGACCUUGUCUCUACAAAAAAAAAAAAAAAAAAGUUAAAAAAAAAUUAGCUGGUCCUGGUGACAUGCACCUGUAGUCCCAGCUACUCAGGAGGCUGAGGAAGGUGGAUCACUUGAGCCCAGGAGUUAGAAGCUGCAGUGAGCUAUGACUGCACCACUGCACUCCAGCCUGGGCAACUGAGCAAGACACUGUCUCAAAAAAUAAAAAGACUAACAACCUGGUCUUUGAAAAAUAUUGAGUGGCCAGGCACGGUGGCCCAUGCCUAUAAUCCCAAUGCUUUGGGAAGCCAAGGCGAGUGAAUCACUUGAGGUCAGGAGUUCAACAGUGAAACUCCAUAAAAAAAAAAAAAAAGGAAAAAAGAAAAAGAAAAAGAAAAGGAAAAAUUAUUGAGUGAAGAAGCCUCUUCCCUUCCUCCCCCACCACCUUAUAAUUUGGCAAAGGGCCUCCAUCUGUGGGGCCUAGAUUGUUUUCUAGGAGAUAAAAAUAGCCAGCAUGUGUCAAGAUAGCAUCAAACCUGCAGGGGCAGGUGAGGACUCCAGAAUGGGGUUAUAAGCAGGUCUUUUUUUUUUGUGAGCCAGGCUACAUGCCAGGCUUUAUGCUACUGUGUUUAUUUCUCUUUGUUACUUGCCAGCACAGUGAUACUAGAACUUGCAGAAAUUUAAGGGUAACCGGUAUUACUUUAAAAUACCUUUUCCCAGGCUCCCACUGCAGACCUUCAAAAUCCAUGUCCCCCAAGAUUCUGUAUAUUUAAACUGGUGUCCAGAGCAGUUUCUAUGACCUCAAAAGGUUGGGAAACAUUGCCCUCAUGUUCAGAAAAGUCCUUUAAACUUUUCAGCUUUGACUUAGUUGUGGAGAGAUGUUGAAAAAUGCCUUUUGUCAUCCCAUUGCCUGUACCUCAGAUAUGAAGGAAGAAAUGACCCAAGGAGGCUUCGAUGGAGCCAAAAUCAUCAGAGGGAGAGUCUCGGGAGAAAGAUGAAUCUCCAGGGCAGGGGCCAGGGUUUGUUGGUCUCUCUGCUUCUGGCCCCUGCAGUUACUCUUUUUCAGUGUCAACCUCAGAGGAGCUGAGCUUUAUUUUUAUUAUAAAAGCAGAGAUUAUCUGUCACUAUACUUUAUCAAUCCUUUCUCUUCUUUCCCCAUCAUUCUUCCAGAAAGAAUUGUUCAUACUCCUUGUCUCUGCUUCCUUAAUCUUCAUUCACUUCUGACUGCAGUGGAAUGAAGACUGACCUGGGUAACCUGCCCUAUGUGACUGUGGGCAGGUUAAUGAACUACUCCAACCCUCAGUUUCCCCACUGUGACUUGUAAAAUGAGGUAAUGCAAGAAAAAUUUCCAACAUAGUCCCUGGCAGAUAGUAAAUACUUAUUUUUUUUAUUUUUAUUUUUUUGAGGUGGAGUCUCGCUCUGCUGGUCUCGAACUCCUGACCUUGUGAUCUGCCCACCUCAGCCUCCCAAACUGCUGGGAUUACAGAUGUGAGCUACCUCGUCUGGCCAGUAAAUACUUAAUUUUAACCCUUUCCCUUUCCCUACCUCUGGCCCCAAAACAGAGAUAAAAUUUCUUUUCCUAAAAUCAUUAGUAACAUAAUUGAUUUUUUUUUCUUUUUUUUUUUGAAACAGAGUCUUGCUCUGUCACCCGGUCUAGAGUGCAGUGGCGCAAUCUCGGCUUACUAUCACCUCUGCCUCCCAGGUUCAAGUGACUUUUUUGCCUCGCCUCCUGAGUAGCUGGGAUUACAGGCGUGUGCCAACACUUCGUUAAUGUUUUUGUAUUUUUAGUAGAGAUGGGGUUUCACCAUGUUGGCCAGGCUGGUAAAAUCAUUAGUAACCUAAUUGGAAAAUUCUAUCAUUUUUCAGGGCUCAAUUUACUUUUUUUUGGUCAACAUUUAAGACUAUACUCAAUUCUUGAAAUUCCUAUUCUUUUCCUAUAUUUAUGCCACUUUUUCUAGCUUUUCCCUCCUGGUUCCAAAAACAUCAUCUCUAGCCUGCCUAGUAUCAGAGGCACUCCCUGCCCAGUGUCACAUGGGCAGUCAUUUAACAGCCAUGAUAUCCUGGCCCCACAUAAUCAUUUGCUCCCUAAAUAGGGACUUGUAUGAAUAACCACACAAGGAUUUCACUGUCUUUUUCCUUUACAUACACCUUACAUUUAGGUGUAUUAAUGAAAUUAUGCAGCCAUUGAAAAGUAUCAUGUUGAAAGCUAUGGAAAGAUGCAGAAGUGAUUAACAUCUUCAGUAGAUAUAGUGCAAUGCAAAAUGCUACAUGUUAAAAAUCAGGGUGAGGUGCUAUUCACCUUAAGAAGACACCAUAAAGGCCAGGUGCAGUGGCUCAUGCCUGUAAUCCCAGCACUUUGGGAGGCUGAGGUGGGUGGAUCACGAGGUCAGGAGAUUGAGACCAUAUUGGCUAACAUGGUGAAACCCCGUCUCUACUAAAAAUACAAAAAAUUAGCCAGGUAUGGUGGCAACCCAGGAGGCGGAGGUUGCAGUAAGCUGAGAUUGUGCCACUGCACUCCAGCCUGGGUGACAGAGCGAGACUCUGUGUUAAAAAAAAAAAAAAGAAGGCACUAUAGGCCAGGCAUGGUGGCUCAGGUCUGUAAUCCCAGCACUUUGGGAGGCCAAGGCGGGCAGAUCACCUGGGAUCAGGAGUUCAAGACCACCCUGGCCAACAUGGUGAAACCCUGUCUCUACUAAAAAUGCAAAAAUUAGCCAGGCAUGGUGGGAUACACCUAUAAUCCCAGCUACUUCGGAGGCUGAAGCAGGAGAAUCACUUGCCCUUGGGAGGCGGAGGUUGCAGUGAGCCGAGAUUGCACCACUACACUCCAGUCUGGGCAACAGAGGGAGACUUUGUCUCAAAACAAAAAUAAAAACAAAAACAAAAAACAAAACAAAAACGAAAACAAAGGCACUACAGCCGCCUAACACAAAGAUGAUAGAAUCUCAUCCCUACGCUGUAGCCACACACAACCAAACCCAAGAUCCCCCAAGGAAAACGGAUGAAUAGAGAACACUAGCAAAUGAGAAUUAAGCAUCACUUUGCUACAAAUACUCCAGUAAACUGGGCCUGAGCACUGCUUUGGGCUUCCAGACUGUAGGCUUCCUCUAUCUCCCAGGCAUAAAUAGACUCUUACCUUAGUGAGAGCACAUCAGACAUUAGCCAAGUGUGGUGGUGCGUGCCUGUAAUCCCAGCUACUUGGGAGACUGAAGCUGGAGAAUCGCUUUAACCCGGGAGGUGGAGGCUGCAGUGAGCUGAGAUCUCACCACUGCACUCCAGCCUGGUGACAGAGCGAGACUCUGUCUUAAAAUAAUAACAAUAAUAAUAAUAAUUCUCUGAUGACUCUUCAGGAAAUUCUCCUCAUUUUAAGAGUUAUGCUAUGUUGUUCUGUGAAAAUGAAGACUACCAGCACUUCUGUGUAAACUCUAGGAAGAGUUUGACUAUAGGAGUAUGGUAAUACUUGCUGUGUAAAGAAAGGAUGGAAAGCUACUUUGUUUUGAUAAAGUAAAAUGUAUUGAAGUGCCUAUUUUGAGUAAAUUAAAAUUCAGAGUACUUACCAUUUCAGCUGGUCUCAACAGCAAAUUUUUAGAAGUCUGAAAUACAUCAAUACCGUGAAAUAGGAGACUCUUACUUCCUUAAGACAUUCAUGAAAUCACUGGGUUAGGUGCUAGUAAUGCAAUGAUGAGAAAACACACACACACACAAACACACACACACAAUCCCAGCUCUUAUGGGGUUUACAGUCAAGUGGGGAGACAAACAUUAAUCAAAUAAUUACACAAAUAAAUUUAACAAACUGCAGAGUGCAUGAUGGAAGAGCAGUAUUAGAUGGUAUGAGAUGAUUAACAGGGUCUGUUAAUUGGCCAGAAACAUCUGGGAAAGCUCACCUGAGACUGUCAGUUGUGCUAUGGUUGGAGGAUGGGGAUGGGAGGUGGCUGGUGAGGGCCUCGUUAGGGAAGGAACUAAGGGUGCAGGAGCCCUGCUGCUGGAAGCAGUAUGAGCCUCGGGUAACACAAGGGCUAACCCAAAUGCCUACACAGAGUAAGGAUUGUGGGAGAGGAAGAAGUGACAUGCCUCUCAAGUAUUAAAAUUCAGUUUUCAUCAUUUAAAAAUAGAGUAACAAUAGGCAAACAGUUUGUGUUUUUGACAGGGAUUGUAAGAGUCAAUAAAUGAUCACUGAACUCCUAGGAGGGUCCUAAAACUGAGCGUUUGAAUUCCAGAAUUUAAAUGCUGGGUAGAAAAGGAUGACCCAGCAAGUAUUCCUGAGUCUGAAGAAGAAAAGCCAGGAGUGAGUUUAGUGUUACUAAUGGCAGAGGAAAAGAGGGCCUUUUAAAAAGGAGGCAGUGGUACUCAGAGUUGAAGGCUACCAAAAGAUCAAGGAAAAUGAGAACUGAAAAAAUAUCUGUUGGAGUUAGCAACAUGGAGGCCAAUGACAUUCACAAAAUGCUUAAAAUGCACUGAUAUUGUAUAAUUAGUUUCAACCAUCUUCUGAAUUAUCUGUGUCUUUUGCCUGACUGGGAGGGGUGUGGGUUGCUUUAGAUCAAAUUCCACACUUCUGGAGAUCUGGGGGCAUUCUAGCAACAAUCCAGAUAGUGUUACAAACAAGACCAUUAUAAGAUAAACACAUUUUAACAAGGCAUUUAUUACCCAAUGCUUUAAUAUUAGAGAGACUCAACUGGGCUCAUGUUAAAAACAAUGAAGCAUCUAUGUCUUAUGCAAUGCUGUAUAGGAAGUAUCUGAUAAAGUCUAGAUCCUCAGAACAAAAAUUCUAUGCAUUGGUCUAUUGUCUUUAUUUAAGACAAAGAGUGUGCUUAAGGUACAGGUAUCUACCAGCUACUGAAAACUGCAGAACCCCUAUCCAUGAUGUAUCCUUAUUUAUAGAAUGCUCUAAAAAUGCUCUAAAAAUCUCCCAUAAAACAGGAUGAAAGUAGUUUUCUAAUCCAAAAUGUUAUCAUAAUUGACACUUCUCAGGGUAAAAAUUAGCACAUAAUGGUGAGUGAGCUCAGAAAGAUUCAAAAUAAACAAUUUAUACAAAUCGAGCUCUCCAACAAUUGCAAAUAUACAGUAUCUAUUAGUCUUUAGCUGAAUUAAUCAUUUAUUUUUUAUUUUUAUUUUUAUUUUUGAGAUGGAGUUUCGCUCUUGUUGCCCAGGCUGGAGUGCAGUGGAGUGAUCUCGGCUCACCACAACCUCCGCCUCCCAGGUUCAAGUGAUUCUCCUGCCUCAGCCUCCCGAGUAGCUGGGAUUACAGGCAUGCGCCACCACACCCAGCUAACUUUUUUGUAUUUUUAGUAGGGACGGGGUUUCUCCAUGUUGUCAGGCUGGUCUCGAACUCCUGACCUCAGGUGAUCCGCCCACCUCAGCCUCCCAAAGUGCUGGGAUUACCAGCGUGAGCCAUCACACUCAGCCUAAAUUAAUCAUUUCUUAAGGCCCUCAUAAAGUUACUGUUUGUAAAAAAUAAAAUUCUACAUAUAUGGGAAUUUAGAAAAACAUUUAAUUGUCAUAAUUGAAUGUAAUUAAUCAUUGUUAAAAUAUCAAAGCAAUAAUACAUUUCAGAGGAUAUAUAUGUAAUGAUUUUUAAGGCUCUAGUGAAGCAUACUCUAAAAUGUAGCUAAGCAAUCUAUUAACACCGGCCUUUUACAGAAUACAGUUACAAUCAUUCUAACAAGAUAAAUUGGCUGGGCGCAGUGACUCAUGCCUGUAAUCCCAGCACUUUGGGAGGCCAAGGUGGGUGGAUCACCUGAGGUCAGGAGUUCAAGACCAGCCUGGCCAACAUGUCGAAAUCCCAUCUCUACUAAAAAUACAAAUAAUUAUCCAGGGGUGGUGGCAGGCACCUGUAAACCUUGGCAGGCUGAGGCAGGAGAAUCGCGUGAACCUGGGAGACGGGGGUUGCAGUGAGCCAAGAUUGCACCAUUACACUCCAGCCUGGGUGACAGAGCAAGACUCUGUCUGAGAAAAAAAGAAAGAUAAAUUAUACAUAUGAUUGAUAUACAAGCAAAUUAUAUGUAUUCACACAUAUAUAGUUUCCUUUUGGAAGAUUUUAGGAAAAUAUUUGUCACAAUUAAUGAUUUUUAUAUUUUAUUUAUAAAUUGAGUACUUUGACAAAAUAUUAUAUUAAAUGGUUCAGUAAGACUGAACCAUAUAUGCUUGGUUUGGCACAGUGGCUCAUACCUGUAAUUCCAGCACUUUGAUUGGCCAAAGCGGGUGGAUCAUUGGAGUCUGUGAGUUUGAGACUAGCCUAGGCAACAUGGCAAAACACCAUCUCUACAAAAAAAUACAAAAAUUAGCUAGGUGUGGCAGAGGGUACCUGUAGGCUAGGGAGGCUGAGGUGGGAGGAUCCAUUGAGCCCAUGAGACCUAGGCUGCAGUGAGCUGCAACUGGGCAAUAGAGCGAGAGCUUGUCUCAAAAUAAAUAAAUAAAUAAAUAAAUAAAUAAAUUUCUUCUCUUUAAAUCUUGGACCUAGUCAUCAGAUCAAUCUUUCUAAAAUUUUGUUUUCAUUCAUGCAUAUUAUUCAGUGGCUCCCCACUUCCUACAAAAUGAAGUUCAGCUCUUUGUUCUGACAUGUAAACCAUUUCAAUAUUUGGCUUCAAACAUUAUUUCCAAAGCAGGCCAUGCUCCUCAUCUCCACCCUGAGCUUGUGGUGUGUUCCUCACCUUGAAAGCUCUUCCUCUUUCUCUUCUUCAAAUCUUGUGAUUUUUAAAGAUGCAGUUCAACUCCCACCCACCUCCCUUAUGAAAUCUUCCCUUAUGCUUCUAGUGCCUUCCUCUGGCCUUGUCUUCAUCACUUAUUUUGGGUUUUAAACAACGACUAUUAUGUACUUAGUAACAGUACUUGUGUCCCUUUUUUUUUUUUGAGACGGAGUUUCGUUCCCGUUGCCCAGGCUGGAGUGCAAUGGUGUGAUCUUGGCUCACGG